UAAAAGUUUGAUCCUGACUUUACUAUCAGUUUUAACCUAAUUUACACAUGCAAGUCUCUGCAUUCCAGUGAAAAUGCCCUCGGUUACCCUAAUCCGGGACUGAGGAGCAGGCAUCAGGCACAUCCCUUAGCCCAAGACGCCUUGCUCAGCCACGCCCCCACGGGUAUUCAGCAGUGAGAAAAUUUAAGCCAUAAGUGAAAGCUUGACUUAGUUAAGGUUAAGAGAGCCGGUAAAUACUCGUGCCAGCCACCGCGGUUAAACGAGAAGGCUCAAGUUGAUAGGAAUCGGCAUAAAGUGUGGUUUAGGAAUAAAAAUAAUAGGAUUGAAGUGCUUCAAGGCAGUGAUAAGCUUCCGAAGUCACGAAACACAGUCAACGAAAGUAAUUCUACCAACCCUGACACCACGAAAACCAUAAAACAAACCGGGAUUAGAUACCCCAUUAUGUAUGGUCGUUAACACUGAUGGCUUGCAUACCUAGUCAUCCGCCUGGGGACUACGAGCGAAAGCUUAAAACCCAAAGGACUUGACGGUGCUUUAGUCCCCCUAGAGGAGCCUGUUCUAGAACUGAUGAUCCCCGUUUAACCUCACCACCUCUUGCUUAUUCUGUUUGUAUACUUCCGUCGUCAGCUAACCUUGCAAAAGAAAGGAACAGUUAGCACAAAUGAUAUAAACUCAAAAACGUCAGGUCGCAGUGCAGCGAAUGAGGUGGGAUAAAAUGGGCUACAUUCUCUAUUAUAGAGAACACGAAUGAUAACUUGAAAAAGUUUUCUGAAGGAGGAUUUAGUAGUAAGUGAAGAGUAGAGUGCCUCACUGAAUACGGACCUAAAGCGCGUACACACCGCCCGUCACCCUCUCCGAUUAUUUUUGUAAGAUUUAAAUAAAACAUUUUUUAACCGCGAGGAGAGGCAAGUCGUAACAUGGUAAGUGUACCGGAAGGUGCCCUUGGACAAU
rnacentral:ncRNA from 1 species